rnacentral:rRNA from 1 species
AGAGUUUGAUCAUGGCUCAGGACGAACGCUGGCGGCACGCUUAAUACAUGCAAGUCGAACGUGAACCUCGGGGCUUGCCCUGGGGGGAAAGUGGCGAACGGGUGAGUAACACGUGAGAAACCUGCCCCGAAGACUGGGAUAACACCGGGAAACCGGUGCUAAUACCGGAUACCUUCACCGGACCGCAUGAUCUGGUGAAGAAAUGGAUUCUGCUUCGGGAUGGUCUCGCGGCCUAUCAGCUUGUUGGUGGGGUAACGGCCUACCAAGGCUUCGACGGGUAGCUGGUCUGAGAGGAUGUCCAGCCACACUGGGACUGAGACACGGCCCAGACUCCUACGGGAGGCAGCAGUAGGGAAUCUUGCGCAAUGGGCGAAAGCCUGACGCAGCGAUGCCGCGUGCGGGAUGAAGGCCUUCGGGUUGUAAACCGCUUUCAGCAGGGACGAAAUUGACGGUACCUGCAGAAGAAGCCCCGGCCAACUACGUGCCAGCAGCCGCGGUAAUACGUAGGGGGCGAGCGUUGUCCGGAUUUAUUGGGCGUAAAGAGCUCGUAGGCGGUUCGGCAAGUCGGAUGUGAAAUCUCCACGCUCAACGUGGAGGGGCCAUUCGAUACUGCCGUGACUCGAGUCCGGUAGGGGAGUGUGGAAUUCCCGGUGUAGCGGUGAAAUGCGCAGAGAUCGGGAGGAACACCCGUAGCGAAGGCGGCACUCUGGGCCGGUACUGACGCUGAGGAGCGAAAGCGUGGGGAGCGAACAGGAUUAGAUACCCUGGUAGUCCACGCCGUAAACGUU